AGUUAGGGAGUGACGCGCUGUCCCACCUACGUCCGGAUGAUGCGAGCGUCUCAUGGACUGGAGGGGGUCCGUGCUCGUGAAUAACCCACGGGUACCGUAGCUGGAUCACACUAGUCUUCAAAUUAUUGACAGAGCACCCCUGAAUGGACAACACAGCACCCCAUGAUGAACAUGCCAUGGACAGAGCACCCCUGGAGAACAAAACAGCCCCAGCUCCUUAAUAGACACACUGCAGCACCACUGGAUGGACACAGCAAUCUUGGAUGGACACAGCACGGACAGAGCACCCCUAGACAGAGCAGCCCCUUGAUAGACAAACUGCAUCACCCCUGGAUGGACUCACAGUCCCUGGAUGGACAAAACACGGACACGUCUUUUCACUACAAGCUCCAAAAUUAAAUGGUGCAGAUCACUGGGCCUUAUAUAGAAUCCAAAACCCAGAGAAUCCGAUAGUGGGAGGAUGAUGUUUUACCUCGUUUUGAGAUCCGAGUCAGACAGGAAACCCUGAGCCGGACUCGGAUCCUGGCUCGGAAUGCUAUGUUCGGGUGGGUCCAGUACUCGGAGAACCGAACCUGCUCAUUUCUCGUUCUAAUUGAGUUUUAGAUUAAAGAUAAGCGUUUAACAUGUUGCAAA